UGCAUCGGCCGGGAAUCGAACCCGGGCCGCCCGCGUAAGAGGCGAGCAUUCUACCACUGAACCACCGAUGC
rnacentral:tRNA from 1 species